rnacentral:rRNA from 1 species
GACGGAGGGUGCUAGCGUUGUUCGGAAUCACUGGGCUUAAAGGGCGCGUAGGCGGCCGGGUUGGUCGUGGGUGAAAUCCCCCAGCUUAACUGGGGAAGGGCCUACGAUACUGCCUGGCUCGAGGGAGGAAGGGGCGGUCGGAACUGUCGGUGGAGCGGUGAAAUGCGUUGAUAUCGACAGGAACGCCGGUGGCGAAAGCGGACCGCUGGCCCUCUUCUGACGCUGAGGCGCGAAAGCCAGGGGAGCGAACGGG